rnacentral:tRNA from 1 species
GCGGGGGUUGCCGAGCUAGGCCAAAGGCGGGAGACUCAAGAUCUCCUCCCGUAGGGGUCCAGGGGUUCGAAUCCCCUCCCCCGCAC